UCCAUAGUAAAUUUAGUAGAAAACACUGUUUUGCAAUUUGUUGGAAAUAGUAUUUUAACGCAGCCCUGUUUUACGCGUCAAAGUUUCUCGACAGUCGGAAACCAAACAGCUCCGGUAACUAACUAACUAAAAUUGAAUUCAAAUAAAACUUUAAACUUCUACAAUCAAGAUGAUGCGCGAUUCGCACCCCGAAAUGCGUGACAUCGAAGCGCUGGCCAAAAAGGAGGUUAAGGGGAAUCUUUUGUUAUUUGCCGUGGCCUGUGCCUUGAUACGCUAUAUUCCAAAACUCAUACGCAAGUUCUUUUAGAGGGCCAUACACUGGAGGGCGCCGCUAAGAGAUCCACGUUUAAAAUGCACAAAGUGUGGCCCAGGCACUUGCAUUUCGAUUGUGCGUCAUUUAAGCUUUCUCUAGCUUCAUUGACUAGGCAGCCAUUAAGCCAAACCAUUUACCAUAAGAAAAUCAUAUACAUUUAUUUAUACAAUUUUGAGUGGGAAAAUAUCCACCGAACAAGCGAUUAACUUCCACGUGACUAUGGAGUCGCUCACACUGGCCGUUGUAUGUUAAACCAAAUUAAAAUUAUUGGAAAAACGCA